GUUUAUGGCCAUGCUACCCUGAACAAGCCUGAUCCCGUCUAACCUCGGAAGCUAAGCAGGGUCGGACAUGGUUAGUACUUGGAUGAGAGACCACCUAGGAAGACCAGGUGCUGUAGGCA
rnacentral:rRNA from 1 species